rnacentral:rRNA from 1 species
UGUUUCGGCUAGGGGGCCAUCCCGGCUUACCAACCCGAUGCAAACUGCGAAUACCGGAGAAUGUUAUCACGGGAGACACACGGCGGGUGCUAACGUCCGUCGUGAAGAGGGAAACAACCCAGACCGCCAGCUAAGGUCCCAAAGUCAUGGUUAAGUGGGAAACGAUGUGGGAAGGCCCAGACAGCCAGGAUGUUGGCUUAGAAGCAGCCAUCAUUUAAAGAAAGCGUAAUAGCUCACUGGUCGAGUCGGCCUGCGCGGAAGAUGUAACGGGGCUAAACCAUGCACCGAAGCUG